GCGGGGAGCCUAUUCUUCUUUUGUUUUUAUGGACGAGGGAGGCAGUUUACAUCUUCCUUACAUUCUCCUGAAUACUUCUGUCUGGGUCUCCUGAGAGCAAGUUAUGGCUCAUGUUGGUGGAGGAGGCUGCAAACCAGAGGUUGCAACUGGUGCACACAGUGACUUGAACCCUAAGCCUGUGAAUUGUAGGACAAAUACUGAAUGUUGUAGGGCUACUCAAGCCUAAAGAUCACUGCAGUCAUACUCCAAAGACCACCACAGUUUCCUACUUGUUCUUAAGCUGAGUUCCAGUUGCAGUUGUAAGUUGAAUCCUCCUAUUUCAGUUUUUUGGCAAAGUAUCUGGAAGAUGACUUCAAGGCAGCUGAAACUUGAUGUACGCACAGCAACAGACGAGGAAGGUGAACACAGGUUUGGAUAGCACAAAGUGCUUUUAUGAGAUCCUAAUUUAUAAGUUGCUUUUAAGUAGUUUUCUCAAUCCCACAUCAAGGUUUUCACACCCUGUGGAAGUAGAAAAGCCAAACAGAACCUACACAUGAAAGGGUGGUGGCUGGAGCAAUCACACUCUCUGUGGAAACCCUAUGGAAUGGAUACCAGAGGAGAGGAAGUUCUGAUUUCCACAUCUCUCCCUCCCACCCAAGUGGACACAAGAUAAGAAGGACUAUUCCCAGCAGAAAUGGUAGAAUUCAAGCCUGAGAUCUACAAAAAAAAAUCUGUUGACCCCUAGAGAUCUAUGAUGAACCAUGAGGAACUGAAUAACCAAACUGGAAGUAUAGCUACUCAACAUAACUUGCUUCAUUGAAUUAAUGUACUCUCCACGGAACCCUGUGACUGCAAUUUGUGAUUCUAAGAGAGUUCUCGGAAUAUAUCCCAGCACUCUCAGUGAUUGGCAGCUCUGUAAAAAGCGAUAGCUAGCCCAACUAUCCAUCAAACAAAUGAGUGGCACAUGCUAUAAGCAUGCUAUUGUGAGCUGUCUUGGUGGGAAUGUUUUCCAUGGCUACUGCUGAAAUUUUGCCAUUUCCCAGGAAGGAAAGGAAGGAUUUCUGGUGCCAGAGUAUGAAAGUCAGGACUGAGACACUUUGGACUUUACAUGAAUAUCAUCCAGAAUGUGUUCUUCAAAAAACAGAAACAACCCCUGGGGCAAGAAUCAAACCACAUUUCCUCCUUCCAGCUCACUUGUCUUAAAUAUUACACUAAUUUGCAGAAUAAAAUGGAUCUCCUUCUCUACAAGAUGCCCAGAAAAGCUAUGAAGAGAGGCCAGUUUAAAUAUUACAUUUGAACUUAGCGUGUGAGCUCCAUCAGUGAAGAAUAGUCCCACAGAGAAGGAAGACUCAAGGGAGACAGGCAGUCAAAAAAGGAAGAGUUCUGUAGUCUCAAGGUAAAAGGGCAGCUGAACUGAAAUUGUGUCCUUUCCACCACUUCCACACCCUCUUGCAGCCGUAACUUUUCCUUUCAAGUCUAGACCUUGAACAAAACUGAUGUGUUCGUGCCUCUAAUCCUGAGGUUCAAUGAAUGCUUCUAUCCAGGGCAAUCUGAUGCUGCCUUUGAGUGAAGGAAUCCUACCUACCUGUCCUCUCGGCUGUUUGUUUCUGUUCCUGUAUUUUGUCCUAUCUUGUAUCAAACAUUUAUGAGACCGCAGUCUAAACUGGAUUAGGAGACUGCUCUGUCUGAACACCAGUGGUUCUUUUUCCUGCUGUGCUAGUUUCUAGCUGGAGCAGGUCUCUGAGUUAGCUGGCUGUAGAGUCACACGCACAUCUGUGCGGCGCAAGGGUUGGGGCAGCACAGGGGCAGGAACAGGCAGCCAAGAGGAAGCAGAGUGUGGAGUAAACAGAUCUAUUUCUUCCAUUAGCAGUGCCUGUGUAUGCCAUCUUGUGUUGCUUAAGCCUUACUCCAGAGAGCCUGCGGCUUGAUUCGCAGUAGUAUUCACAAUUACAAGGGAAUUCCUGGGGAGAUGUGCUUCUGGAAAGGAAGAGCUAUCCCUUCCUAACCACACAGGAAAGCUAGGUGCUAGCUAUUUGAUCUAUAAAAUGGGGAUAACAAUAUCACUUUACAGGAAAGGGAUAAAAAUGCACUCGUUGCUGUUUGUGAAACAUUCUGUUCUGAUGAACGCUCCAGAUCAACCUAGUUGGCAGAGAGCACCCGUUUGCAGAAAGGAAGGUGUGGGACUGCACUCUGAUUUUCCAGGCUUCGGAGAAACUGGGGAGAAAGUUAUACAAUCGUGUAAUUGCAAUUCAUAUUAUAGAGUGUCUAUGGCCAAGAAAUUUGAAAUAAAGGUAUAAGCAGAUGG